UGGUCAAGUUAUUAAGGGUGCAGGGCGGAUGCCUUGGCACUAGGAGCCGAUGAAGGACGUGAUAAGCUGCGAUAAGCUUCGGGGAGUUGCACGUAAACUUUGAACCGAAGAUUUCCGAAUGAGGAAACUCACUUAGAGUAAUGUCUAAGUAUCAUUAAGUGAAUACAUAGCUUAAUGAGGGGAACUCAGGGAACUGAAACAUCUAAGUACCUGAAGGAAGAGAAAGAAAUUCGAUUCCGUAAGUAGCGGCGAGCGAACGCGGAUUAGCCCAAACCAAUAAAGUUUUCUUUAUUGGGGUUGAGGACAUACCACAUAUAAGAGGUCAUUAUAGACGAAGAAGUUUGGAAAAACUCAUCAUAGAAGGUAAUAAUCCUGUAGUCAAAAUAAUAAUUCUUUAGGUAUGAUCCAGAGUACCACGGGACACGUGAAACCCUGUGGGAAGCAGGAGGGACCACCCUCCAAGGCUAAAUACUACCUAGUGACCGAUAGCGUAUAGUACCGUGAGGGAAAGGUGAAAAGAACCCCGGGAGGGGAGUGAAAUAGAACCUGAAACCCUGCACUUACAAGCUGUGGAAGCACAUUUCUUGUGUGACCGCGUACUUUUUGUAGAACGGGCCAACGAGUUACGUUAAGUAGCAAGGUUAAGCACUUAAGGUGCGGAGCCGUAGCGAAAGCGAGUUUUAACUGAGCGUUCAGUUACUUGACGUAGACCCGAAACCGGGCGACCUACCCAUGAGCAGGAUGAAGCGAAAGUAAAAUUUCGUGGAGGUCCGAACCCACGAGCGUUGAAAAGCUCGGGGAUGACUUGUGGGUAGCGGUGAAAUUCCAAUCGAGCCCGGAGAUAGCUGGUUCUCCCCGAAAUAGCUUUAGGGCUAGCCUCAAGGUGAGAGAUACGGAGGUAGAGCACUGAAUGUCCUAGGGGGUAGUGCACCUACCGAAGACUAUCAAACUCCGAAUGCCGUCAUCUUAUACUUGGGAGUCAGACUGUGGGUGAUAAGAUUCAUAGUCGAAAGGGCAACAGCCCAGAUCGUCAGCUAAGGUCCCUAAAUGUAAGUUAAGUGGUAAAGGAUGUGGGAUUGCACAGACAACCAGGAUGUUGGCUUAGAAGCAGCCACUCAUUCAAAGAGUGCGUAAUAGCUCACUGGUCGAGUGAUCCUGCGCCGAAGAUUUCCGGGGCUAAAACUUACUACCGAAGCUACGGCAUCAGUAAUGAUGGGUAGGGGAGCUUCCCAUACGGGUUGAAGCAUGACCGUAAGGACAUGUGGACAGUAUGGGAGUGAGAAUGUUGGCAUGAGUAGCGAGAUGUGGGUGAGAAUCCCACAGGCCGUAAACCCAAGGUUUCCAGGGGAAGGUUCGUCCGCCCUGGGUUAGUCGGGACCUAAGCUGAGGCCGAAAGGCGUAGGUGAUGGACAACAGGUUGAUAUUCCUGUACUACCGAUAACCGUUUGAGAGAAGGGAUGACACAGUAGGAUAAGCUAAGCACACUGUUGGUUAUGUGUGCCCAAGCAUUGAGGCAGUCAAAGUAGGCAAAUCCGCUUUGAUAAUGCUGGGAUGUGAUGGGGAGCGAAAUUUAGUAGCGAAGUAGCUGAUUUCACACUGUCAAGAAAAGUCUCUAUCGAGGUUAAAGGUACCCGUACCGCAAACCGACACAGGUGGGUGAGGAGAGUAUCCUAAGGCCAGCGAGAGAACUGUUGUUAAGGAACUCGGCAAAAUGACCCCGUAACUUAGGGAUAAGGGGUGCCACCAUCAGGUGGCCGCAGAGAAUAGGCCCAAGCGACUGUUUACCAAAAACAUAGGUUUCUGCUAAGUCGCAAGACGAUGUAUAGGAGCUGACGCCUGCCCGGUGCUGGAAGGUUAAGGGGAUCUGUUAGAGCAAUCGAAGCAGUGAACUUAAGCCCCAGUAAACGGCGGCCGUAACUAUAACGGUCCUAAGGUAGCGAAAUUCCUUGUCGGGUAAGUUCCGACCCGCACGAAAGGCGUAACGAUUUGGGCACUGUCUCAACAACAGACUCGGUGAAAUUGUAAUUCCGGUGAAGAUGCCGGAUACCUGCGACAGGACGGAAAGACCCCAUGGAGCUUUACUGUAGCUUGACAUUGGGUCUUGGUACUACAUGUACAGGAUAGGUGGGAGGCUUUGAAACCAGGACGCCAGUUUUGGCGGAGCCAUCCUUGGGAUACCACCCUUGUAGUACUGGGACUCUAACCAUAGGCCAUGAAUCUGGUCUUGGGACACUGUCAGGUGGGCAGUUUGACUGGGGCGGUCGCCUCCCAAAAGGUAACGGAGGCGCUCAAAGGUUCUCUCAGUACGGUCGGAAAUCGUACGUAGAGUGUAAAGGCAAAAGAGAGCUUGAUUGCAAGACAUACAGGUCGAGCAAGGAUGAAAAUCGGACUUAGUGAUCCGGUGGUUCUGCGUGGAAGGGCCAUCGCUCAACGGAUAAAAGCUACCCUGGGGAUAACAGGCUUAUCUCCCCCAAGAGUCCACAUCGACGGGGAGGUUUGGCACCUCGAUGUCGGCUCAUCACAUCCUGGGGCUGUAGUAGGUCCCAAGGGUUGGGCUGUUCGCCCAUUAAAGUGGUACGCGAGCUGGGUUCAGAACGUCGUGAGACAGUUCGGUCCCUAUCCGUCGCAGGCGUAGGAAAUUUGAGAAGACCUGUCCUUAGUACGAGAGGACCGGGAUGGACGUACCUCUGGUGUACCAGUUGUCCUGCCAAGGGCAUGGCUGGGUAGCUAUGUACGGAAUGGAUAAGCGCUGAAAGCAUCUAAGCGCGAAGCCAACUUCAAGAUAAGAUUUCCCACCGCAAGGGUAAGACCCCAGAAAGACUAUCUGGUUGAUAGGUCGAAGGUGUAAGUGCAGCAAUGUAUUUAGCUUAUCGAUACUAAUAGGUCGAGGACUUGACCAAU
rnacentral:rRNA from 1 species